rnacentral:rRNA from 1 species
UACGAAGGGGGCUAGCGUUGCUCGGAAUCACUGGGCGUAAAGCGCACGUAGGCGGCUUUCUAAGUCAGGGGUGAAAUCCUGGAGCUCAACUCCAGAACUGCCUUUGAUACUGGGAAGCUCGAGUCCGGAAGAGGUGAGUGGAACUGCGAGUGUAGAGGUGAAAUUCGUAGAUAUUCGCAAGAACACCAGUGGCGAAGGCGGCUUACUGGUCCGGAUCUGACGCUGAGGCGCGAAAGCGUGGGGAGCAAACAGG